GGGGGGGGCAAGCGUUGUUCGGAAUUACUGGGCGUAAAGGGCGCGUAGGCGGCCUGCUAAGUCACACGUGAAAUCCCUCGGCUCAACCGGGGAACUGCGUGUGAUACUGGCGGGCUUGAAUUCGGGAGAGGGAUGUGGAAUUCCAGGUGUAGCGGUGAAAUGCGUAGAUAUCUGGAGGAACACCGGUGGCGAAGGCGGCAUCCUGGACCGAGAUUGACGCUGAGGCGCGAAAGCUAGGGGAGCAAACGGGAUUAGAUACCCCGGUAGUCCUAGCCCUAAACGAUGAGUGCUUGGUGUGGCGGGUAUCGAUCCCUGCCGUGCCGAAGCUAACGCAUUAAGCACUCCGCCUGGGGAGUACGGUCGCAAGGCUG
rnacentral:rRNA from 1 species